UGCAUCAAAAAGGGGCUGGCCAUUAACGACGGGACGAGGAUAAGAGAGAGAGGGAGAGAGAGGGAGUGAGUGAAAAUGGCUUCUUCUCUGGUUACCUUCGAAAGCGUCUCCUUCGCUUGUUCCCAUAUUAGGCCAAUCUUCUCAUUACCCUCAAACCCAUUUGUAGUUUCGACUUUUUCAUAUCCAAAAACUGCUAAUUAUAUCAAGCUCAAGCACCUCCCAAGAGCAUCAUCAUCUUCUGAAGGCCUUCCUACUGAGUUGAUUGAAGAUUCCAAAUUUGUCCCGUUGACUGCUGAAGAUCCUCAAUAUGGUCCACCAGCUUUAUUGUUGUUGGGCUUUAAAGUGGAGGAGGCAGCAAAGAUACAGCAACUUUUGAAAGGCAUGGAUGGUGAAUUCCUAGAGGUUAUCUUCUGUACUGAAGACAUGAUUACUCGCUCGCUGUGGGACGCAGUUAAUACAAAGCAGCCCAAUUUGGAUACUGUGAAGAUUGCAAAUUCGGUGCCACGAAUAUGUUUCUUAUCUGGUCUUACGGGGGAAGAAAUGAUGAUGUUCGUUGAUGCUUUUCCUGAAAUUGGAUUAGAACCUGCUGUAUUUGCAGCUCUUGUUCCCAACAGCGCUGAUAAACCGCUACAAGAGUUGAUUGAGGAGAUUAUGGGAGACCAUGAAAUGCUUUCAGCAAAGAGAUCGGGCUAGGUGUUGCAAAAUGCAGAUUAGAGAUUUGAAGGAUCAAGAAUUGAAUGACUCACGAUAUUGUGUGUAUGUGCCAAUAGUUCUAGCUUGACCUUAUCAGCAUUACAUUCUAUUUUCGGAGUCAAAUUAUUGCCGAAGAUGACCACUGUUUUUUUUCUCCCUUGUUCUCUCAAUAAUUAUCGAGUGUAGUAGGGAAAGAGAAGGAUAUACAAACAAGCUUAUGUGUUUUUGUAUAUCAAUAAAAGUGCACCCAUCGAUUUAGGUCUUGUGACUGUCUCUUUCUUGUUCUGUUCUUCUCUUGGCUGGAAAAAAUAAUUCUCGUUGUACAGAAUAAAAGAAAAA